ensembl:lncRNA
UAAACCACAUAAACACAAUGCAUUACUCCAAAUACAUAAAAUAAUGCUCUUUUUAGCAACAUCAUAUGACCCCUUCAAUAUAACUCAGACUGGAUUCGUCUGAAAGAAGGACGUCAUAUACACCUAGGAUGGCUUGAGGGUGAGUAAAUAAUGGGCUAAUUAAAAUUUUUGGGUGAACUAUCCCUGUAACAUUUCUUUCUGUGCGCGUUGACUAUGUAAUGUUAGAUAUUGUUUGGAUGGUUAUAGAUAGCUAGCUAAAUCUAUGCUAAAAUGCUUUAAGGUUAACAGUAACUGAUCAAGUUUAACUCACAUUAAACAAGUUAUGUUGUUAAAGCGUGCUUAUUCUUUUACAUUUUGUGUUCUGAUGAUGUCAACUAUAGGGAGAUGAUAAGGGCCUUAAACCCCAGAUAUCAGUCCCCCAGCUGAGACAUCCUCUCAAAUAUCCUCAUACCUGCAUGGUAUGCAGUAGAAAAAGAAAACAUCAAGAAAGAGUUACAAGAUGUGAAGGAUGUGGCUGUGACUGCUGAUGGCUGGACCAGCAUUACACAAGACCUUUACCUGACAGUGUCAGUCCACUAUGUGAGAGAAAGUCCUACAUAGUAUACAUGGGGAAUUAUACAGGGCAGUAUACACAUCCCAGACAGGGGACAUUGUAGCAGAAGAGAUAAGGAGAUAUUCAAUGAAUUCAAUAUAAAGGACAAAGUAGUUGCUGUAACAGUGGAUAAUGUAGCAAACACAGAUGUAGCAAUAAAAAAAAAAAAAAAAAAACGUGUUGCAUUGCUCACUCUCUUAAUAUUGCUUACAAUGGGCAGGAAGGAUCAGAGCAAUGGUGGUGUGGCUGAAAAGAUCCAGCCUGGCUAAACCUGUCCUUAAAGAGAAGCAGCAUCUUCUCGGUAGGUAGAAAUCAAAAAUAGAACAACCUAAGUGCAAAACUCUUUAGCUAAAUAGUUUAGAAAAAAUCCUUUGUUAAAGCAAGUAGUAAAACAUCUCUGCAAAUGAACAUCCACUUUGAUAACCACACACAUACACACACACACACACACACACACCAAUUUCCUCUUUCUCACUCUUGGCCUUCCAGAACAUGCUGUGUGGAAUGCACCAGGUGAAAUAGCCUGUUCCUCUUGGUGGAGCGAUUCCUGGAGCAGUUCUCUGCCAUCCAGGACGCCUCCGUGGACCCUCGGCUUCAGAAAUCAAUGGAGAAGGACAGACUGCAGAGAGAUUCUGACGAGGACAUCAGAAAAGCAGAACAGUUUGUCAAAGAUACUUUACACUUAAACCAUCUGCGUCUCUGCUGAAAGGAGCCCAACCUUGGGUCAGAUUCUGAUCUUGAAUAAACUCCAGCACCACUUCA